GCCUGCUCCCCAUUGGUGUUACUUGGGCAACGGCGUUACGUCCCCACCGCUGAGCCAAACGUCAAAAGUCGCAACUACUUUUAAACGCACUAAAAGUAGCUUACUCGCUAUUGGUUCAGGUGGACGUAUUAGAGGGAACUGUGAAUCUAACAGCUGUCAAAGUACAAGCCACUUAACGACAUAUUUCCAUUCAUCCAUGUUUGGAUGCAAUUUUACCCGAGUUUAACUGUUACUGAGGCUCCUGGGUGUUGGUGAGAUAACUGCAUGCAACCAGUGGAGCAAGUAGCAAGUAUGCUGGGCUGUGGGCAACAUUUGGCAUUAUUGGCUCACUGCAUGAUUGGAUCCAGAAAGCCUGAUAAUAACAAGCAAGGAGCAGCAACGUACAUUCCAUGAGAUAAAAACUCAUCAUAAUAAUAAAAUAUGUAAUACUGGAGUUCAAGUCUGGCUAACAGGGUUGUCAAUAAACCAAUAUUCACAUA